ensembl:lncRNA
AUACUGUCAGAUUUUAAAAAGCAAAAUUUUUUAGCUUUAAAUAUCACAUUUUGUUUUAUUUAAUUUAUUGUUUUUAUCCCCAACUUAUUGUCAACACAAAUAACCCAAUAAAUAGCAUAUACAUAGAUAGUAUUCUGGGUUACUGCGGUGUUGUGGUUUCUAGGAUGUUUCAGUUACAUUGCUAUGGUGUUACUAGGUGGUUGUCUUGUUCCAGUGUGGUUGCUUUGGUAUUCUGGUUACUGUGGUGUUGUCAGGGUGUAGUGGUUUCUAGGGUGUUUCAGUCGUGUUGCUAGGUAGUUGUCUUGCUCCAGUGUGGUUGCUUUGGUGUUCUGGUUACUGCGGUGUUGUCAGGGUGUAGUGGUUUCAAGGGUGUUUCAGUCAUGUUGCUAUGGUGUUACUUAGUGGUUGUCUUGUCCCAGUGUGGUUGCUUUGGUGUUCUGGUUACUGUGGUAUUUUUAGGGUGUAGUGGUUUCUAGGAUGUUUCAGUCAUGUUGCUAUGGUGUUACUAGGUAGUUGUCUUGCUCCAGUGUGGUUGCUUUGGUGUUCUGGUUACUGCGGUGUUGUCAGGGUGUAAUGGUUUCUAGGGUGUUUCAGUCAUGUUGCUGUGGUGUUACUGGGUGGUUGUCUUGUUCCAGUGUGGUUGCUUUGGUGUUCUGGUUACUGCGGUGUUGUUAGUGUGUAGUGGUUAGGGUGUUGCUAGUUUGUUAUUAUGGUUUAGCAGGGCAUUUUAGGGUAUUGCUAGACAGUUGCUAUUGUGUCAGUGGUUUCAAAAGAGCUGCUAGCUUGUUCUGGGUGGUUUAUUGUGUGUUGAAAGGCUAAGAUGAUGUUACUACGUGGUUGUUAGGGUUUUGCCAGAUGGUCGCUUGGUUGUUCUGAGUGGUUUCUAUGGUGUUACUAGAGUGUUGUAACACAAUUACUAUGGUGUUGCUAGAUGAUUUCUGUGGUGUUGCUAAGCGGAAGCUAGAUUUGUUAGAUGGUUGCUAGCUUGUUAUGGUGUUGCUACAUUGUUGCAAGGGUAUUGCUAUCUUGUUUUCAUGGUGUUGCUAGGUGGUUUCUGGGGUGCUCUGGCUGAUUUAUAUGGUGUUGCUAGGGGGUUGCUAGACAAUAACUAUGGGGUUGCUAUGUGGUUUCUAGCUUGUUCUGGUUUCUAUGGUGCCAUUAGGUGGUUGCAAGCUUGUUCUGGGUGGUUUCCAUGAUAUUGAUACUGAUACUGAUAAAUACUGAUAAAAAAAAUAAAUAAAAAAAAGUAUAACCUGAAUGCACUGUAAGUCGCUUUGGAUAAAAGCGUCUGCUAAAUGGAUAAAAAUGUUAAAAAAUUAAAUAUUGCUACGUGGCUGCUGGGUGGUUUCUAUGGUGUUGUCAGGUGAUUACUGUGGCUAGUGCUAUUGUGGUGUUACUGAUUGGUUGUUAGUAUUGCUAAAUGGUUUGCUGUCUUCUUCUCGCUGUUGGUAGGGAGUUGCAAGGCAAGUAUUAUUAUGAUGCUAGGUGGAUACUUGGAUUAUACUAGGGUAUACUAGAGGGUUUUCCAGGGUGUUGCAAGGUGGUUAUUGUGGUGUUGCUGUGUGGUUUAUAGCUGUCAUGUCUGUGUUUAGUUUAGUUCUCGUUUGUUUUUCAUGCCUUUUAUUUUGAAAAUAGCCAUGUCCUUGUUCCAUGUCAAGUGAGUACCUGUUCUCCUCAUGCGAUACUGCAUGUGGUUCCUUUGUUUUAACGUGUUGGUUCUUGUUUCAUUAGUUCUGUCUGUUAAUUGGUUGCUUUGGUAAUGUGACCCUCAUAGUCUGGAA